rnacentral:rRNA from 1 species
CAUAUUGGUCAAUGGACGCAAGUCUGAACCAGCCAUGCCGCGUGCAGGAAGACUGCCCUAUGGGUUAUAAACUGCUUUUGUACGAGCACAAACCCUUCUACGUGUAGGCGGCUGAGUGUACCGUAAGGAUAAGUAUCGGAUAACCCCACGCCAGCAGCCGCGGUAAUACUGAGGAUCCAAGCCUUAUCCGGAUUUAUUGGGUUUAAAGGGUGCGUAGGCGGCCCGUUAAGUCAGGGGUGAAAGACGGCAGCUCAACUGUCGCAGUGACUUUGAUACUGACGGGCUUGAAUGCGGAUGAGGUAGGCGGAAUGAGACAAGUAGCGGUGAAAUGCAUAGAUAUGUCUCAGAACUCCGAUUGCGAAGGCAGCUUACUAAGCCGUGAUUGACGCUGAUGCACGAAAGCGUGGGGAUCAAACA